rnacentral:rRNA from 1 species
GACGAACGCUGGCGGCGUGCUUAACACAUGCAAGUCGAGCGGUAAGGCCCUUUCGGGGGUACACGAGCGGCGAACGGGUGAGUAACACGUGGGUGACCUGCCCUCAGCUCUGGGAUAAGCCUGGGAAACCGGGUCUAAUACCGGAUAUGACUCCAUGACGCAUGUUGUGGGGUGGAAAGCCUUGUGCGGCUGAGGAUGGGCCCGCGGCCUAUCAGCUUGUUGGUGGGGUGAUGGCCUACCAAGGCGACGACGGGUAGCCGGCCUGAGAGGGCGACCGGCCACACUGGGACUGAGACACGGCCCAGACUCCUACGGGAGGCAGCAGUGGGGAAUCUUGCGCAAUGGGCGAAAGCCUGACGCAGCGGCGCGCGUGAGGGAUGACGGCCUGG